CUCCGCUCAGACGGCUGCCUUAGCUCCAGUUGCACUUGCUGGGGCUCCUUCUGGCGCCUUUUUGCCUCAUACAGGCACUGCGUGUGAGCGUAAUUAAAAACAAGACGGAGAAGACGGAGCAGUGGCUGAGGACGAACCUUUCGCCGAUAUGUUCCGAAGUCGUGGUAGCGGCCCGGAUCACGAGAACCUCCAAGAGGUAGUUCCAGCUGCAAGAUCUUGUGCCAUGCCUGACAUUGAAGUGCUAAAACGUCCUUCAAGAGAAAGCGGAGACUGUUUGCAAGGAUGGUUUAUUAUCAGCGAUAAAAUGAUCGACUUCAGUGUGAACGAUCGAGGGGAACUGCAGAGAGUGUACUCCGGCCAAACAUGCGCGCUAACAAACACUCCAACACCAUGCGUGGGUAAAGCAAUGUGCCACAUCCAGGAACUAACGGACAAACUGGACCACUGGGCCCGACAGGCAGCUACUAAACAGCUUGAUAUUUCUGAAGGAAGAACUAAAAACGCCGACAUCUCAAGGUUUGAUUCGUCCCAUUUGAAAACCCACCCCGAGCUGUGUAUUGAAGGCGUGGGGCUUUGUUAUGAAAACGAAACGUCGUACCCCUUCUGGAAGGGGACAGGUGGUGUUCUGCUGGAAGUGGUGUCACUUAUCAAGCGCCUGGAGUCAGAUCGGCAAGAGGCCAAGGAGUCGCUGCAAGAGGAACGAUAUAAAGCACAGCGCCUGAGAAGAAAACAGGACAGUCUCUCUCUAUGGAAACAACAAGAAUUUCCCGUAGCGGUGCAGCUAGAAUACGACGCUUGCACCAGAGACAUCGCCGAGCUGAGGUGGCAUCUUCGCGUAAACGGCGAUCGAACGCGGCAAGUCCGAAACACCCUGAAGCAGGCCGAGAUGCAGAAUCAUCGACUGCUCGAGAAGAUCGAGUUUGUAAAGACCCAGCGCCCGCUUCUCAAAGAGAAGAUGCACUUGGAACACGGGAACACGAAGCGGAUAGAAUCGGCUCGGACGGAGGCUAGCAAGGUUCUCGCAGAGUUGUCCCAUGAGCUGAGAGAUUCCCAGCAGGAGUUGGAGAAUGAUGAACUUCACAUAAAUAACGAAAGGGGCGCCAUAAGACAGACACUCGAAGACGUCCACACUCAGCUUCAAGAGCGGAUCACCCAACUCCAGCAGCUUCGGUCUUCCUGGGAUGACUCGUGUGCCAGAAUCCGCGAGACUGAGGAGAAGGUCGUGUUUAACGAUAAACAGGUUGACGCCAUGCUCCAGCAGAUCCCCGUUCUAGAAACACAAGAGACCGAAAUAAGCUAUGCCGUCCAGCAACUAAAAGCAGAGCUACAAAGUCAUGAAAGAAAACUGGCGGAAAAACGAGACGACUUUACAAGCUUUUUGAAGCAGAUCCAAGCAACUAGGCAUGAAGGAGAAGCAAAUGUCUGCGAGUCUGAGCAGGUCUUCAGCAGGAAGCGUCAGGAGCUCCUGCGCCUGCGUGAUAAAAAUAAAGAACACGAAAUAGAAGCUGAGGACUACAAUAAGAAGAUCUGUCAAAGCAAGCAGGCAGUGCAGCAACUGCAAAAGAACCAAAAGCAGAUACUAGAGAAGAUCAGUCAAAAUGAGGAACAGAGGGAUCAGGCCAAGGGUGAGCUGGCACUGCACACCGCCCACCACACUAACGCCAAGGCUCGGCUGCAGGAGCUGAAGCAGCAGACACUCGUGCAGGAGCAGAGAAUGAGGAAAGAGACCGAAACAUUGAAGAUGCAGCUGAUGAGUGAGAUGACACUGUUAGCAGUCCUCAAGGGUAACAUCACGUCAAUCAAUAAGGAAUAUAAAGUGAUAGAAGCCGAUUGUGAGCGAGAGAAAGAUGAGGUAGCGAAAGAGCACGAAGAAGCCUCGAUUGCAGUCGCCCAACUGGAGACAGAGCUGGUUAAACUACGAGAAACACACACAGCCAAAUCUAAAAAAAUCGAGGACUUGAAAAGGAAACUGAGUGACGUCCUGACUGCACACAAAACCCUGUCUGAUGACCUUGAGCAGCAGAAGCGUGCCUGUCUCGACCGUCUGCAUUCAGCUAAAGAAGCCCGUACGGCAGUCCUGGUGAGACGUGAACAGGUUUCCAGAAGGCUCGAUGAGCUCAGGCUAAAGUGUGAAGAAUACAGAACGGAAUCGGCGGUGAUGGAGGACACGGUUACUGCCAUUCCGCAAGUCCUGGAAGAACUACGGAGUGAAUCUGACAUGGUGGAGUAUAAGCACAACCUGAUCAGCACCGUGAUGUCCAGCCUGCAGAGCGACACGGUGGCCUGCAGAAACAGGACCGACCUUUCAAAUGAGGCUCACUCGACCCUCCUUUCCCAACGGCAGGCUGUGAUGCAAGACCUGAAGGCUAAUUUGAGGAAAGCUCUAAAAGAGAACGCCGAGCUGGCGCAGGAAUACGGGGAGCUGCAGAAAGCCGUGAUGGUUGCCAGGCGAGAAGCCGUGCUCGCGUCGAGUGAGAAAAACAGAGCCGAGGCCUCGUUUCACGAUCACACCCAGCUUUCAUUGUUGCAGAGGAGGAUGCACAAAGCCAUGCUGAAAUACUUCAAACACCGCAGCGUCUACAGCCAAGCAGAGCUGGCCCGCUUCCAGGCCCUCUCCAACCAGAACAAGCAGAAAAUGAAAGCCCUCCAGGAGGACUUGUCCAGAGCAAUCCAGCGCGUCUCGGCCUUCCUGACGGACGCCGGCCACGACGCCACGGCGGACAAACAGGGGCGCGUGGACCUCGAUGGACUUAACCGGCCGAUGCCUACGGUGCAGAUAGCAGAGUAAUUGGACGCUCACCUUUGUGCCAGACGACUCACUUAAAACCCUCUCGGAGCGUGCUUCACUCUCUCCACCCUCGCUGCUCCUCACAGCCCAAUCCAUAACAAUGAAACAGGUCUCCAAGCGCCCGGGCCCACCUGGUCGAGAACUCGCCCAUUAGAAGCCCAUAUGUGAGAAAGAAGCAGCACAUCUACAUUUCUACACUAAGGCAACACCCCUGUGGGAUACACACACGCGCACACACGCGCACACACACACACACACACGUGCGUUUCUCUUACUAUCCUUGUGAGGACCUAACUCAAACCCCAAACCAGGAACCUACAGGAAGCCUUUUAUCUCGAUUUUUUUAAAAAUAAGAGCUGAAGAUUUUUUAAAUCGUGGGGACCAGCCAAAUGUCCUCAUAAAAUCAACACUGUAAGAAAUUCCUAUCCUUGUGAGGACAUUUAGUUCCCACCGAGAUAUAAAAACAUUCCCUUCCCCCUACACACACACACACACACACACACACACAGUGUAUUAAACCUAAUUUGACUCAUUAUUGUGUUGUUGAGUCAAUCAUAUAGAAAAAGUACAUUUCCAUUUGCUCUCCGCUACCGCAUUUCAUUUCCAUGUUUACUGAAUAAUAUAAAGAACAGAAGGAAUAUGAAGGAAGCCGCGAGCACUGAAUCGCUCGUUUUACACAUUCACUAUAUGUUAUGAAAAUGUUCCCAAGUCAUCAUGUUCAAUUACGUGGGAUCGGGUCAUACGGCGAGGUAAAAAUGACCGAGGUGCCAACAUUUACGGGUCAUCUGGCAUUUACCAUUUUUGAGGCAAUUCUCCGGCAAUAAGGGAGACGCCUGAAAACUACGCUUUUCUGUUUUUAACGUUAUAGAUCAGAGCAAACACAUGUAAAAUUCACCAAGUAGAAAGCAGACUGACUGGAGGGGACUUUUUUGUAGGUGAACUUUGACCCUUGGAAUUCGCUAACUUCAGGCUUCUGAGCCAGUAGAAUCCAAGUGGGUUGCAUUCACUAAAGAAAUGGCAGAGCUGCUUAAUUUACUGUUGGGUUUGGGGUAAUUAUCUGUUUUUGUGGUAAAAUUCUAUUUUAUAUUUUAUUUUGAGGUUUUUUUGGGGAGUUUUUUGUGGUAAAAUUCUGUUUUGUAGUUUUGUUUGAUAAAAUUUUAUGGUAAUAUUCUGUUUUCAGGUUUUUUGCAGUAAAAUCGUCUGGAAGGUAAAAUUCUGUCUUUUUUUGUGGUAAAUGUCUCGAUUCUUGUGGUGAAAUUAUGUUUUUUUGUACUAGAGUUCUGCUUUUUUGGGGAUUCUAGGUCAUUCUGGUCAUUUUUUAUGCACGAUAGUUCUGGGUUUUUGUGGUAAAAUUGUGGUGGUGUUUUUUUUUUUAUUGGUACGACUUUUUUUUUUAUUGACCUUUGGGGUUUUUGUAGUAAAAUUCUGUUUUUUUAAAUGAUACAAUUCUGGGGGUUUUGUGGUAAAUAUGUUUGUUUUUGUAGUAGAAUUCUAGUUUUUAUGAGUAGAAUUCUGUUUUGUUUGUUGUAAAAUAAGUUUUCUUGUGGUAAAUUUAUGAGUAUUUGGAGUAAAAUUCUGUUUUGUUUGUUGUAAAAAAAUUUGUUUUGUUGAAAUAAGUUUUCUUGUACAUUUCUGGGGUUUUGUGAUCAAUUUCUUUCUGUUUGUAUUUUUGCAGUAAAAUUCUGAUUUUUUGUGAUUAAAAAAAAUAUUUUGAGUUUCAAAAAAAUUCAACGUUUUUUUUUUUUUUUUUUUUUAAUGUAAAAUUAGGUUUUUCUCUCUAGUUGGCUCGGAUUUCCUAGUUAGCAAUGUUGGCACCUCUGAAAUGAUUACCAAUACUGAUACACAUCUCAUCCGUCUCCAUCUCUGCUCGAACUGACACGAAUCUAUAAAUGCUAAGGAUAUUUUCUAUUCAGAUAUUUUCUAUUCAGCUAUUAUUACUAACGUGCUGCUGUGCACAAAGGACUAAGUGGCGCGUUAGGCUACAAAUACAGCAUAAAGCACACAGAUCAUUUGCACGGAAUAAACAUGGAUUUAUGCCGCAAAGGAGGGAUUGUGUAGAAAUAACUGGGAGCAUCUUUUAACAAUCCUAACAUACUAGAGGCUGUGAAAAAUCCACACUAUUAAAGCUCAGGCUUUUCCACAGAACCCAAGUGUCUGAAGGCUGUAAUAUACGAUUUAAAAAUAAAUAAAUAUAAAAUAAAUUUUUUUUAAAAAAACGCCGCCAACUUCUUACACAAAAAGCUACUUUCUGAACGUCGUCAUUGCACCACAUUUAGUUAGCAAAAAAUAUUUUUACAAACAAGAUGAUAUCGCAGCGCUCCGUGAUAUUAAUAUGAUCUGUUCCCUGAUCUGUAAAGCACCUGGUUAUCUUGCUCGGCGCCGAUAAGAAAAAGUGCUGCGGAUUUCCAGUUUGUGAGCACAUUUGGGCUGAAUCUUUCACACGUCACAAAUUGCAGAUGGGAAGCGGUGAUCUUGAACAGCCGAUCACCCCAGCGUGACCAUCUGACACCUUCCAUUUAGGAAAAUAAUACUUUCUAUCUUAGCAUACUCUCCCCACUGCAGCCAACCAAAGGAAAUAUGCUUGGAGGAGUUUCAGCUACUAACUUUCACUCCUUCUACGCUCCUCUCUCUCUCUCUCUCUCUUUCUAGUUUUCCAGGAUGUGUUACCUCGUUGUUGUUUUUUUUUAAAUAAAAAAUUUCCUGUUAAAAUAAAGAUAUAGGUUUCUAAAAAAGGUGAUACGGAUUACUGAAAUAUAGAGUGAAUGAUAUUCUCGAUUAUUUGUUUGAAACGAGUAUUGCUCUAUAGAACGCACGUCCUGUUUAUCACCUCGACACGAUGAGUCGUAAACUAAAACUAGCUAGGGUUAUCUUUUACAUUCCUCCAUGGGGAAGGUUUCGAAAUGAGUUGUAUUUCAUGUAUUAUAGAAUGUUCUGGAUAUUGAAUUAAAUGUUCGUCUACAGCCUCAGACACCUCCAAAUAACCCAAAUGACUACUCAGUAUGGAAUCAGACACUUGGAGGCACGCCGUUAUCGGAAAAUAAUCAACGACGGGUUUAGUCCCGGUUACUGUUCCCACCCUGAAGUUGAAUAUCUUCCUACAGCGGCAUGAUACUGAAGUGUUUUAUUCCUCUUACGCCGCAGCGAUUUGCCAAAAAAAACGCACGCCGUCAUGAUUUUUUAUCCGUUUAUGUUUACUUUAACGUCACGGAGCAUCCGCGAAUCAGGUUAGUUCUCAUUAUCAGUCGUUUCCUUACUGAUGUUCCAGGAACUAACUUGUUACACAAUGUUAAACGUCGUCAUUUUGGUAAAUUUAGGAUUUACACACUUUGGGAUGUGGCGUUAUCAGACAAUCAUCAGAAAGAUAUCCUAUCUUGAACAUGGGCGAAUUUCUCAUCUAAGGCCUGUUUUUAGACGCUUUCGCACAUUUCAAGCUUUAAAUGAUCAUUUCGCUUCCUUCUAGAAAUAAAUGCUUGAAAUUAGCCAAUAGAACAGAUUAAUUCAAGCUUGAAAUGAGUUAAUGAAUGAAUCUUAUAUUUAGUUUAUUGUGAUCUUGUAAUAGUUUUUCAAGAUAUAGAUGUCUUUCUUUUUUUUUUGUUGUUUGUUUGAUUGUUGAUUACGUUCCUAUAACAUGACGCAGUGUUUUAUUCCUCACAUAUCUGAUGUGAAUUAGCCAAUAGGUCGCUAAUCCUAUCGUUGAGGUAAAUGUAGGCUGUAGUUAUGUGUGCGCGGAGAUGUAUUACAGGCGUACGUGUGUAUAGCGAUGACGAUCGCGCCGCUCUGUCUCAGUCUGGAGUACGAACCGGACCGGAUCCUCCACUCACGAGCAUUACAUGUGUAACGCUGGCGAUAAAUAAGAGUCGGGUUUUUAACCGAGGGGGAAGAGAGAGUUGUAAAUGUUCUCGGUGAUUUGCAGUCUCUAAGGGUUUAAUUAAGUCCACAGUCUCCGCUUUUAACAUGAUGAGACUCACUCGACGCCCCGGCGUAACACGGCGCACACCCGGAAUGCCCCGCCAUCUCGAGUCCACGGGCCUCAGGAGAACCGAGGCGCUAGACGGAGCUUAAACGCUCGGAGAGAUGGCCAUCUCAGAUGGUCUAACAAGUCAACGGAGAAUUGGCUGAUAGCAUAUCAAUUUUCGCCUGCUGCGUUCCACUGCUUGCGAGCUAUGACACUAUGACCAGAGU